rnacentral:lncRNA from 1 species
CGGGAGUGGGGGGGGGGCGUCAACCCUUAGUAGAGGCGGCACCAGGAGGAUCUUUUUUUUUUGAUUCCUCCCUCACCCCCGCCCGGGGAAAAAAAAAUAAAAAAGAUCUGCACGAGACGCUGAGGGAAGGUAGAAACGUCAAUUUUUCAUGUUGGAGAGAGAGAGAAAAAAAUCCGAAAUGGAAAAUGAUUUUAUUGGUCACUACCCAUAAGUCAACUAAAAACAGGGAUAAUUAGAGAGUGGGGAAUUCGGAGGCCAUAAAUCCGCGGCGCCCUCUCCACGGGCGUCGGGGGGCUUACGGCUUGUUGGGUUUUACUUUGAGAGCCACGGGGUCCGGCGCUUUGGUGGAAGCGGGACCUUCCCGCCGAGCGCCGCGGACGCCGGGAGGAGGCCACAGCCAGGGCUCGCUCGCUUCGUCCGGGAGAGAGGAGCCCUUGCCGGGGCCGGGCCAACCCGCCUGCGCGCAGGGCGUCACAUCCUUCCUCUCCCAAACUGCGACGCGCAGACACUAGCUAUGCCUGGGGCCCGGAGCUUUUACAACGACAUUCACUCCACUUGCGGCUUCCAAACGUCCACCCCGUCCUGCACGCUUGGGGGCCUUUUGUUCGCAUUUACAGGGAGGAGGGGGAUGGAACAAAAAAACAAAACAAAAACACAACACAAAAACAAAAACCCACCUUACUCUGCAAUCUUGCGCAAAGCGGCCGGGAGUACUUUUUCACUCCACAGGGGUUUCUAAAACCCCACCGUCGGCCAGAGGCCCAUUUCCUCUUCUGAAACGGUCUUCUCACGAAGCCACCCUUUGCAGACCGUGUAAAAUCCCAUUAUCAGGUAAGGCAGCGGGACACUUCUGACUCAGCUGCGGCUAAUUUGGGGGAGAAAGGAAGGUGAAUUCUUCAGGAACUCCAAAAUAAAAGCGCCCCUUCCCUUGCAACUCGCGCCAAGCUUUCCCCUUUGUUUUAAACACACAAACAAAAACCCUUGUCCUUCCUGGGGACGGGGCGGGGAGAACUGCGCAUCCACAUUCAGAAGCGCUCUCCCCCUAAAAACUAUUCUCCCAGGAGCUCUUUUGUUUGAAGUGGGGAUGGGGGAGGGGAUGGGGCCGCUACCAGGCUCUUCUGACCCGAAAAAAAAAAAAAAAAAAAGUCCGCCGCCGGUGUCACCUAACCGCGUAAAUGUGAAGUUCCCGGGGCCAGGAGGGGUUCCUUCCUGGACCCCCGCCCAGCAGCAGCAGCCAAGGCCGGGUCUCCCUAACGCGAGUUCCCUCCAACUGAGGUCCCUACAUCUCCAAAGUAAACACCCCGGAUCCGAAAGCAGGAAUCCCAGGUUUCCGGGUGGGGGUGGCCGUAUGAACGACUACGAAUCAGAGCCAUCCGGCUGUGGUACCCACGGAGUCCGGAGAGCCGGGGAGGUCUGCGGGCGCGCCCCGCGGCGAGGGGUUCCAGAGCACCGCGCAGGGGCUCCCCGAGUCCGGCAGCCGUCCCGGGACCCCUCAGAAAGCCACGCUUGCUGCGAAAAUCUCAUGCCCAGCAGCUAGGUUCUUAUUCGUCCCUCCCCAGCGACGGCUGUGGGCGCGCGGGAAACCAGGAGCGCACGUACCUGGCACCGCUCCGAGGGCGGCCUCGCGCGGGCCUUCCGUCGCCUAGGGAGCCCCCAGAAGCCACUCCCCGCCCGGCUGGUCGCCCCCAGGCCUGUCCCGCCCUCCCCGGCCUCGCACACCGCCGAGCUAAGUCUCCAGGGAGCCGGAGCGGACACUCGGCCCUCCUUUCCGGGAGCAGGAUCCUUUCUCCAAAGCCAAGGCCCGUGCCAGCUCUGGGGCCACCGUCCGCUCGCAGGGCUCCCCGCGGUCCUUCCUCCGGAUCGGGAGGGAGGGAGGGAGUGGGGCUGCCUAGACGCAGACCUGCGGUUCGUUCGCGCUGCAGCUCCAGGCUCGCUCCUGCGUAUCCGGGUUCCCUACUGCGAGACCGGGACGGACUCUGAGACCUCCGGGAAGAGGAGGCAGCGGCCGCGGUCCAGGCAGAAGCCCGGGGGCGGGAGGGGUACCAGCGCCCCGCGGCCACGGCCCUCGGGGGGCGCCGAGCCCCACCCACGUGGAGGACCCCUCCCCGCCUCCGCGAGGGCAGCGUCCCCGCCCGUCUCCGGGCUCCCGCCUAGCUCCGCCCAAUCGCCUCCCGCAGCGGCCGCUCCCUUUG